AGAGUUUGAUCAUGGCUCAGAUUGACCGCUGGCGGUAUGCUUAACACAUGCAAGUCGAACGGUAACAGUCCCUCACCUAGAAAUUUCUUAAAAAGAGAUUUGUAGGUGAGGGAGCUGACGAGUGGCGGACGGGUGCGUAAUGUAUAGGAAUCUGCCCGGUAGUGGGGGACAACUCGGAGAAAUUCGAGCUAAUACCGCAUAAGCCCUACGGGGGAAAACGGGGGAUCUUCGGACCUCGUGCUAUUAGAUGAGCCUAUAUUAGAUUAGCUUGUUGGUGAGGUAAUGGCUUACCAAGGCGACGAUCUAUAGCUGGUCUGAGAGGAUGAUCAGCCACACUGGGACUGAGACACGGCCCAGACUCCUACGGGAGGCAGCAGUGGGGAAUAUUGGACAAUGGGCGAAAGCCUGAUCCAGCAAUACCGCGUGUGUGAAGAAGGCCUGAGGGUUGUAAAGCACUUUCAAUUGGGAGGAAUACCUAAUAGUUAAUAGCUAUUAGAUUGAC
rnacentral:rRNA from 1 species